UUGCAAUCAUAGCUCUCAAAGACACUGUCAAACUCUGAUCUAAUCAAUCUUGUCCUUUAGAUAAGGGAUCGUACAGUCCUCUGUUAGAUAUCAUGCUGACAAUCCUAUGGAAUGGUUAGUCAAGCAUUUAGGUUUCUCGAUCUCUGAUUUAUUCGACAUAGAACUUAAUCGAACACAUCAAUUCAGUUCUGACCGGGCCCGACACAUAAGUCAAAUCAAAUCAUCGAGCGGCCGAGAUAUCGCUUUUACCUUCUUAGAUAAAAGUUACAGAUAAACUUCGACUUAUAUGCAUUUACUUAUUCAUUAACCAACUAUACACAACAAUACGUUUUAUAACACCAAGUUACUGAUGCGUUUUCGUAUUAUCAAUGUACAAUCAAUUAACAAAUAAUAAACCAUAUAUCUAGGUUUUAAGACUAUAUGAUAUUAUCGUCUUGCGAUCACCUUUUAUAUCGUAUUCCAUAAGGUGAUUCCAGCAAGCGCGGGUUUAUUCCAAUGCUCAAAACUAGUUCAUAAGCACUCAUGAACGUUGCAGCAAUCCUUUGCUAUGUCUAACACCAUUUAGACAUUCUACACACCAAUUCAUGACAAUCUUCAUUCAUAUCUACUCCCAACAUAUGAACGAUUGUGGACCAUUUGAACAAUUCGAUUAUUCCUAAUAAACUCAAUUAUUCUGGAAGUCAAAACAUGCAAAGUGAAACAAUAGCUAAACAAUUAACAUAAGAUAGUAACAUUACUCAUAAAUAAAACUCCUUUAUUUAAUCAUCAAAUGUUAAUUACAUUUAUCUAUUACACGUUUCUAAUACUAUCUAAUCUAUGCUAAUAUCAUCCUUCAGCCCAAUACUCCUAGCAUGCUGCAAGUGCUUAACCCUACUCAGUCCCUUCGUAAGCGGAUCUGCUGGGUUAUCUUCUGAUGAUAUCCUCUUCACUACGAGUUGUCCUUCUUCUACACGAUGUCUAAUGAAGUGAUAUUUUCUGUCGAUAUGUCUUGAUCUACCAUGAUCCCUCGGUUCCUUGGUUAAGGCAACCGCACCUUCGUUAUCACAGAAAAUCUCCAUUGGCUCCUUUAUGGCAGGUACAACUCCAAGAUCACCGAUGAAGUUCUUUAGCCAUAUUGCCUCCUUCGACGCUUCGCUCGCUGCAAUGUACUCUGAUUCGCACGUUGAAUCAGCUACGGUUUCCUGCUUGGAACUCUUCCAUGUCACUGCUCCUCCAUUUAGGGUAAAGACCCAGCCCGACUGCGAACGGUAGUUGUCCCUGUCGGUCUGAAAACUGGCGUCACUAUACCCUCGCACCUUCAAGUCAUCACUCCCUCCGAGGACUAAGAACCAUUCCUUCGUCCUCCGAAGGUACUUAAGGAUAUUCUUCACCGCAAUCCAAUGUGCUUUGCCAGGAUUCCCUUGAUAUCUGCUAACCAUGCUCAAAGCGAAGGCUACAUCAGGGCGAGUACAAGUCAUAGCGUACAUGAUUGAGCCAACUGCGGAAGCGUAUGGUACUCGGCUCAUUUCUGCUAUCUCAGCUUCGGUACUCGGACUUUGAGUCUUACUCAAUUUGGCAUUACUUUGUAUCGGUAGUUCUCCCUUCUUUGAGUUUUCCAUACUAAAACGUUUUAGUACCUUCUCUAAGUAAGUAUUCUGACUAAGUCCAAUUAGUCUCUUACUUCUUUCUCUUACUAUCCUUAUUCCCAAAAUGUAAGAAGCCUCUCCGAGGUCCUUCAUAGCGAAGCACUUCCCGAGCCAGGACUUAACCUCCUGCAGAGUCGGGAUGUCGUUUCCUAUGAGUAAUAUGUCAUCGACAUAUAGAACGAGGAAGCUUACUAUACUCCCACUGGCUUUGACAUAUACACAAGAUUCGUCUUCGCUUCGUACAAAUCCAAACUCUUUGACUUUCUCAUCGAAGCAAAGAUUCCAUCUGCGAGACGCUUGCUUAAGUCCAUAAAUGGACUUCUCAAGCUUACACACUCUAUCCGGAUGCUUCGGAUCCACAAACCCCUCUGGCUGAGCCAUGUAAACAUCCUCAGCCAACUUUCCGUUAAGGAAAGCGGUCUUGACAUCCAUUUGCCAAAUCUCAUAAUCAUGAAAUGCGGCAAUAGCUAGCAUCACUCUAAUAGAUUUAAUCUUCGCAACUGGUGAGAAGGUCUCAUCAUAGUCAACUCCGGGAGUUUGAGUAAAGCCCUUCGCAACCAAUCGCGCUUUAUAUGUGUGUACGUUUCCAUCCACGUCGGUCUUCUUCUUGAAGAUCCAUUUGCACCCAACGGUCUUACGUCCGGGCACAUAAUCAACCAAAUUCCAAACUUGGUUAUCAUACAUGGAUUGGAUCUCGCUAUCCAUUGCCUCUUUCCAUUUUGCAGACUCCGGGCCUGCCAUGGCUUCCUUAUAGCUAUUAGGUUCAUCAAGAUUUACUAGUGUACCAUCACUAAUAUACGUGUCCCCUUCGGUAGUAAUAUGAAAGCCAUAAAACUGGGGAUGAACUCUAACUCUAUCGGAACGUCUAAGAGGUAAGGAUUCGUCAAUCGGUUCAACCGGAGUUUCCUCCUCGGGUUGAGUGCCAGCGGUAGAGGUUCCUUCAUCUAUCGACUCUUGAAUCUCUUCAAGUUCGAUUUGCCUCCCACUGUCUCCUUGGCUUAUGAGUUCUCGCUCUCGGAAAACUCCUCUCCUCGCAACGAAGACAACAUUGUCCUUCGGUCUAUAGAAGAGAUAUCCAAAGGAUGUCUGCGGGUAGCCGAUGAAAAUACAUCGCUCACUUCGAGGUUCAAGCUUGUCGUGAGUAUCUCGUCUUACGAAAGCCUCGCAACCCCAAACCUUGAUAUGUGCCAACGAGGGAGCUUUCCCUGUCCACAUCUCGUGAGGUGUUUUGGCAACCUUCUUAGUAGGGACUCGGUUAAGGAUAUGGGCGGCAGUCUCUAAGGCAUACCCCCAAAAAGAGAUUGGUAGUGAAGCACGACUCAUCAUAGAGCGAACCAUAUCCAAUAAGGUUCGAUUACGCCUUUCUGCCACACCAUUCAACUGCGGUGUCCUAGGAGGCGUCAAUUGUGAAACUAUUCCACACUCCUUGAGAUAAUCGUGGAAUUCAAGACUUAGGUACUCUCCUCCUCGAUCGGAUCGAAGCAUCUUGAUUUUCCUGCCCAAUUGAUUCUCCACUUCAUUCUUGAACUCUUUGAACUUUUCAAAGGUGUCUGACUUUUGCUUGAUUAAGUAGAUAUACCCAUAUCUACUAUAGUCAUCGGUAAAAGUCACAUAGAAGCGGUUCCCAUCCUUCGUGGUUGAUCUAAACGGUCCACAUACAUCGGUAUGUAUUAGGUCCAAUAGACCCUCGCCCCUUUCACAUGUACUCGUGAAGGGUGACUUAGUCAUCUUUCCAAGCAAACAAGACUCGCAUGUGUCAUCUUCCCUAAGGUCGAAUGACUCCAACACUCCAUCCUUUUGGAGUUGGGCUAUGCGUUUCUUGUUGACAUGUCCAAGACGACAAUGCCACAAGGAUGCUUUAUCCAUACUAGUGGAAGAAUCAAUAUUCAAAACAUCAUUUCCUAAGUUAUCAACAAUCAUAACGGUUUCAUAUAUUCCAUUACAUGGUAUAGCUUCAAAGUAAAAGACACCAUUUAGAUAAGCCAAAAUAGAACCAUUCUCAUUAUUAAAAGAAAAUCUAAAUCCUUGUCUAUAUAAACCAUGAAAUGAAAUGAUGUUUCUUGCCAUUUCUGGCGAAUAGCAACAAUUGUUCAAAUCUAAAACUAAACUAUUCCUAAGCACUAAGGAAUACACUCCAAUCUUGGUCACAGGCGACGAUCUUCUGUUCCCCAUGAUUAGAUUGAUCCUUCCUUGCUCCACAUCCCUACUUCUUCUUAGUCCCUGCACAUUAGAACAAAUGUGAUAACCACAACCGGUAUCAAGAACCCAAGAAAUAGCAUGAUUAGAAUCGUUAGAUUUGAUUGUAUAUAUACCUGCGAAAGAUGGCUUGAUCUUUCCUUCUUUGAUUGCUUGCAGGUAAUCCGGGCAGCUUCUCUUCCAAUGUCCUAUCUUGUGGCAGUGGUGGCACUCUGCCUCCUUCGGGUUAGAGCAGGGCUUAGCGGGAUCAACUUUGGUCCCACUAGAAGAGGCACCAUCUCGGGCUUUCACCUUGCGAUAGUUCUUCGAUGAAGCUUUCCUCUUCUUUCCCUUCCCUUGUCCAAUAGCCAAGACAGGAGCAGCGGGCGGAUUGGGAGUAGGUGCAACAGACUUGUCUUUGAAGUUGCUCUCAGCAACCCUCAAGAGACCUUGGAGCUUGCUUAGGGUGACCUCUUCUUUGUUCAUGUGGUAGGUCAUCCUAAAUUGAUUGUACAUCGGAGGCAAAGAGUGAAGCACCAUGUCGAUCGCCAAAUCCUCACCGAAGUCAACAUUUAACUUGCGAAGGCGGUCGACAUACCUUUGCAUCUUUUGCAAGUGCACGGUAAGAGAUUCUCCAUGACCCAUCUUCGCGGAAAUCAUGUUAGUGAAAAUCUCGUACCUCUCUUGUCUCGCGUUUUGGUGGUACCUCUCCAAUAAGUCUUGGUGCAUCUCGUACGGGUACAUGUCCUCGUAGGACUUUUGGAAUUCGGAGUUCAUGGUGGCGAUCAUGAUGCAAUGUACCUUCGUUGCAUCUCGCUCAUGAGUUUCAAAAGCGGUGAUUUCGGCGGGAGUAGCAAUUUCGGGGUUGAUUUUCUCGAGCUUCUCAUCGAGGACAUACUCCUUAUCCUCAUAGCGAGCAAUGGUGCGAAUGUAUCUUAUCCAUUCGCUAAAGUUCGUUCCAUCGAAGGUGACCUUUUGGCAAAGGCUCAUCAACGUGAAAGAACUAGCAGCAGCGUUGUUUGCGUUCGACAUCUACAAUUAGAAAAGGACAAAGAUAGAUUAGAAUAAGAAUCCCUAAUUAUCACCCAAUAAGAAAAUUAGGGCUAGGAUCCAACAAUAACAUUUACAUACUAGAAAAGGGAUGCCGUAAUCUAACAUGCAAAUAAAUUGAAGGUAAGUGAAUGACGAUUCACUAAUUCUCCAUCACAAAACUUAAACUAUUAGUCCUAAGUGUUUUUGAGAAUUCCUAGGUUCGGAUGAGAUUCAUUGAAACUAUUCAAUGGCAUGUUUAAAUCUCGAUAUGCCCCUCUUGUUUGUGACUGGGAUGCCGAGGAUCACAAAGCGGGUGUGAAUUACCAUGCAAAUUCACAUGGUGCCUUCAUUGUAACGAUCACCUAUUCGAUGUGCCGGUAAACCACACACGCUCCAUCGAACUAUGAUAAACAAUGAAUCACCCUUUGCCACCUUCGCUUAGAACCAAUUAGUGUGCCGGUAAACCACACACGCUCCACUAACAUCUUAGCAAGGUGCAAAGUGUAAUUUCAUGGGAUUGCAUCAAUUCACUUUUCCUAAAGUAACUAGGAUUGGGAAUUUUUAAAAUAUGUGUAGUUACUUUGUAUUUCUUAUUAUACUUUUAAUGAGAGGAUGAGGUUGCCCUAUCCUACCCGUUCGGCUAACGACCCUCCACCAAUCAAGCAAGCGGUGGGUGUGAGUGUACACCCAUUAAGCGCCAUUUUAUAGGCCGCAACCUUAUACCCACCUUAUAGAUCGGCUUCGUGAAUGAGGCCUACUAACGGUAAGACUAGCAUUUAGUUAUACAUAUAUAUAUUAUUCUAGUAAUAUCAUAUUAGUAUAGGGUUGUAUUUUAAAACUUUUAAAAUCUAGGGUUUGAAAUUUAAGUUGUCUAAAUUAAAGCUUUUAAUCACAAAAGUAAAUUUCAAAACAUGAGGGUAGGUUUUAAACAUUUAAAACAUGGAGGAUCAAAUAACAAAUAAUUCCAAUUAACAAUUAAUAUCCUAAUUAUCUAUAUUUGAUUUAUUCAAGAUUUCUUUUUAAGAUAAUUACCAAAAUAAUUAAAAUAAUUAAUUAAUUAUCAUAUAAGGAAAUUAAAUAUUUAAUUAGUUGAUAAUUACCUUUAACUAGAUCAAGAUAAUAGUUAUAUUUAUCAGAAAAACGAAUUAAUGUUGAUCUAAUUAGUUUAUGGUAAGUUAAGAUAAGAUAAACACAAAGAAAUCCCGAAUCUGGCCAUUCCUGACGCCUGGACUCGCCGAGUGCACAAGGGGACUCGCCGAGUCAGGCCUACUCGCCGAGUCCACCUUGGGACUCGCCGAGUCAGUGACUCAGAAACCUAAAAAUCGAAUUUUGCAGGUUUGUUUCAGUUAAUCAAGCAACAAUUUAAAGAAAACCAAGCUAGGCUCUGAUACCACUGAUGGGUUUUAGCCAUAAGAACUUUCCUAUGUGCGCAUGCAAAACCCUAAUGCUUGGAUCUAGGCUUUCUAAUAAACAUGCUUUGAAUCCAAGUCUUCUAAUGACUAAUUAGGUUAAAUAACAACAUUGAAACAGAUCUAGAAUCAUACCUUUGAGUUCCUUGUUGAUCUUGAGGUCUUGGAGCUUCUAGAGUCACAAAUGUCACUCCUCUAAUGGCUUACAAACACCAAUAGCAAGAAGAAUGAUUUAGGAGAGAGGAGAGGGGAGGAAUUUCGACCAGAGGUUCCUUACUUUAGGUUAAGUGUCGAAUUCCAUCAGCCAUAGGGUCUAUUUAUACUUGUAGACUCCUUAAGGGUUACAACCUAAACCCUAAUUAGAUAAUCUUCUCUUAAGGCUAUCCAAAUCCAUUCCUAAGAUAAUCAUAUGGACGAUUUUAGCUAUCCUAAACCUCUUAGAAUUCGUCCAUAGCAUAUCCAAAUGGAUUUACAGUCUAAAGCUUAACUAUCAAACAAUUGACAGUUUAUACCCCUUUAUUUAAUUAAUCUCUUUAAGUCACCAAAUUAAUUCUAAUUAAUUCUAUGACUUAUAUUAAUCAAAUAACAAAUAUAUUAUUCAUUAUAUUAUUCCCAUAAUAUAUUAAUAAUAUUUACUCUCUCUUAUUAAAUCAUCCUAUCAAGUUGCUAUGGUGAAGGCAACCCAAAAGGACCAUGCACAACCGGAUCAAAUACUUGCCUAAUAUAGUUACAGCCUUAGACACUAUUCCAACAGUCUCCCACUUGGAUAAGUCUAGUAACUAUACAAGUACAAUUCGGUUUGCAAUCGUAGCUCUCAAAGACGCUGUCAACUCUGAUCUAAUCAAUCUUGUCCUUUAGAUAAGGGAACGUACAGUCCUCUGUUAGAUAUCAUGCUGACAAUCCUAUGGAAUGGUUAGUCAAGCAUUUAGGUUUCUCGAUCUCUGAUUUAUUUGACAUAGAACUUAAUCGAACACAUCAAUUCAGUUCUGACCGGGCCCGGCACAUAAGUCAAAUCAAAUCAUCGAGCGGCCGAGAUAUCGCUUUUACCUUCUUAGAUAAAAGUUACAGAUAAACUUCGACUUAUAUGCAUUUACUUAUUCAUUUACCAACUAUACACAACAAUACGUUUUAUAACACCAAGUUACUGAUGCGUUUUCGUAUUAUCAAUGUACAAUCAAUUAACAAAUAAUAAACCAUAUAUCUAGGUUUUAAGACUAUAUGAUAUUAUCGUCUUGCGAUCACCUUUUAUAUCGUAUUCCAUAAGGUGAUUCCAGCAAGCGCGGGUUUAUUCCAAUGCUCAAAACUAGUUCAUAAGCACUCAUGAAC
rnacentral:lncRNA from 1 species